CAAUUCCUGCUGCCGCCAAGGAGUCAGGCCUGCUGGCCCUCUCCCCUUUGCCUCUCCUCUUUUACUAUUACAAAGCUGGCCCUUCAAAGCACAGUGCUCUCUGCAAUACAGAAGCCCUCGCUAUCUCUACAGUGGAGAAAAUGUGCGCCACGGGAAAAGGUCAUAGCAUAGAACAAUCUGAAGAGCACUGGUCUGCAUCCCACUUAGAAACCUCCAACUCCAAAUGUCAAUUUUCCUCCUGAGACAGCAUUUCUGGGCUGCUGCCUCCCGCUCCAGAGAGAUGUGCUUCUGGGAAAGUCAACUACACUGUGCAAGAGGUCUGUGAAAUGUGUCGGCACUUCCAUAAAAGUGUAACUGAGGAUCUUCAGUCGGGCCCUCUUC
rnacentral:lncRNA from 1 species